rnacentral:rRNA from 1 species
CACGUAGGGGGCAAGCGUUGUCCGGAUUUAUUGGGCGUAAAGAGCUCGUAGGUGGUUCGGUAAGUCGGGUGUUAAACCCCCCAGGCUCAACCUGGGGACGCCACUCGAUACUGCUGUGACUAGAGUCCGGUAGGGGAGCGUGGAAUUCCUGGUGUAGCGGUGAAAUGCUUAGAUAUGUCACAGAACACCGAUUGCGAAGGCAGCUCACUAAAGUGUAACUGACGCUGAGGCACGAAAGCGUGGGGAUCAAACAGG